rnacentral:misc_RNA from 1 species
GAUGAAGAACGUAGCGAAAUGCGAUAAGUAAUGUGAAUUGCAGAAUUCAGUGAAUCAUCGAAUCUUUGAACGCACAUUGCGCCCCUCGGCACUCCGGGGGGCAUGCCUGUCCGAGCGUCAUUGCACCCCUCGAGCCCCCCGUGGCUUGGUCGUGAGCCGCGCCCGCGCCAGCCCCGUCCCCCCCCGUGCAGCGGGGGGCAGGGGCGCCGGGCGGGCUCGAAACGCAGUGGCGGCCCCCGGGCGACUUCCAGCGCGAUGACAUGUUUCGCUGCCGAAGCCUUCGCCCCGGGCGCCCGCCAGGCAACCCCGUGCUUCUUACGCGGUUGACCUCGGAUCAGGCAGGGAUACCCGCUGAACUUAAGCAUAUCAAUAAGCGGAGGA